GUGCUUGCUCUGGCAGCACACAUACUAAAAAAUUGGAACGAUACAGAGAUUAGCAUAGCCCCUGCGCAAGGAUAACAUGCAAAUUUGUGAAGCGUUUCAUAGGUUU